rnacentral:rRNA from 1 species
AGAGUUUGAUCCUGGCUCAGGAUGAACGCUGGCGGCGUGCCUAAUACAUGCAAGUCGAACGCACAGCGAAAGGUGCUUGCACCUUUCAAGUGAGUGGCGAACGGGUGAGUAACACGUGGACAACCUGCCUCAAGGCUGGGGAUAACAUUUGGAAACAGAUGCUAAUACCGAAUAAAACUCAGUGUCGCAUGACACAAAGUUAAAAGGCGCUUUGGCGUCACCUAGAGAUGGAUCCGCGGUGCAUUAGUUAGUUGGUGGGGUAAAGGCCUACCAAGACAAUGAUGCAUAGCCGAGUUGAGAGACUGAUCGGCCACAUUGGGACUGAGACACGGCCCAAACUCCUACGGGAGGCUGCAGUAGGGAAUCUUCCACAAUGGGCGAAAGCCUGAUGGAGCAACGCCGCGUGUGUGAUGAAGGCUUUCGGGUCGUAAAGCACUGUUGUAUGGGAAGAACAGCUAGAAUAGGGAAUGAUUUUAGUUUGACGGUACCAUACCAGAAAGGGACGGCUAAAUACGUGCCAGCAGCCGCUGUAAUACGUAUGUCCCGAGCGUUAUCCGGAUUUAUUGGGCGUAAAGCGAGCGCAGACGGUUGAUUAAGUCUGAUGUGAAAGCCCGGAG